rnacentral:misc_RNA from 1 species
AACACUGUUAACCUGCGGUACCUGCGGAGGGAUCAUUACACAAUACAAUAUGAAGGCUGUCCGCAGCUGGAGUAUUUUAUUACCCUUGUCUUUUGCGCACUUGUUGUUUCCUGGGCGGGUUCGCUCGCCACCAGGACCACCAAAUAAACCUUUUUUAUGCAGUUGCAAUCAGCGUCAGUACAAACAAUGUAAAUCAUUUACAACUUUCAACAAUGGAUCU